UUGAGGAUACAUGGCCGCUCGGAUUUUCUGUGAUGAUACGGAACUUCCGUGAGGUAAAGUCCGGGCUCCACCGGAAAAGAUGCCGGAUAACGUCCGGGUAGAAAAGGGUAGCUGCUGACAUUCAGCAUAGCCCCUUGACUAACAGAAAGUGCUACAGAAAAUUACCGCCCUGUUACAGGGUAAGGGUGAAAAGGCAGGGUAAGAGCCUACCGCGGAACUGGUAACAGUUCCGGCAUAAGCAAACCUCAUCUGGAGCAAGAUCAUGCAGCAGUUUGACAUUCCGGUCUUAUACUGCGGGUAGAUUGCUGGAGACAUCUGGUAACAGAUGCCGUGGAUAGAUGACCAUACAUCGAAAGAUGUGCCAGAACCCGGCUUACCGUAUCCUUUUUUUU
rnacentral:RNase_P_RNA from 1 species